rnacentral:misc_RNA from 1 species
GCAAACUUGGUCAUUUAGAGGAAGUAAAAGUCGUAACAAGGUUUCCGUAGGUGAACCUGCGGAAGGAUCAUUAAUGAGUUGCCUCGUACCAGACCCAGGUUGGUCGGUAAUCUCUCAACCCUGCUUAUAUCUACCUUACGUUGUCUCGGUGUUACCAGUACAAAACGUUUCGACGUUAGCUACGACCGGGGGCCUGUCCCUUGGUUAGAGUCGCCGAUGGCCUCCUUUAAAAACCUUUUAUAAAUCUUGUCUGAAUAUCUGUGGGCUUAAAUUGACAUAAAACUUUCAACAACGGAUCUCUUGGUUCUGGCAUCGAUGAAGAACGCAGC